GUUUCUGCUCUGCUAUUCUGAGCCCGGUCUGUUGGCACCAGUGGGUCCAGGCAAAAGGACCCACUUGCGGAUCACGGGUGCCUUAGGGCUCGGUGACACUCCACAGUUCAUUAACCACAACAAGUCACACGGCCAAGCGCGAAGUUAGUGGGGCAGAGAAGUGAAAUCGAGGCUUAGAAAGGUAAAGUUUCCCAACUUGCAAAACGGAGCGGAGUCCAAACAGAACCCGGAUCUGCUCGAAUGCAAAGCUCGCCUUUCAGCCCAGAGCACACCACCCCUUAAGGAUGGAGACCCACCCCACACGAGGGCACCACAGCCUCCCCAGACCAGGAGGACAGAGAAUGCAGAGCUGGCCGUGAGCAAAAGGAUGCAAGAACAGAUGAGGUUCUGCAGAGCUCACUUCGCCCAUCUCUGACUGCAGCCUGACCCCUGGAGACUGCUGGAAAACUUGAGUUUCCCUCACGAGUCCAAGAGAGGGAGGGAUGCGGCCAGGAGAGAGACGCCGAACAUUCUGCUAAAUUGGGGGAUCCGGCGUGCACGGCAAAAAGACAAGUGACCUCUUUUGUGUACCAGGCAGGGGGAAAAUGUUAUAACCAUUCCCCUUCCAUACUUUCAUAAAUACAUCUGC
rnacentral:lncRNA from 1 species